rnacentral:rRNA from 1 species
ACUCCUACGGGAGGCAGCAGUGGGGAAUUUUGGACAAUGGGGGAAACCCUGAUCCAGCCAUGCCGCGUGAGUGAAGAAGGCCUUCGGGUUGUAAAGCUCUUUCAGCCGGAACGAAACGGUCACGGCUAAUACCUGUGAUCACUGACGGUACCGGAAGAAGAAGCACCGGCUAACUACGUGCCAGCAGCCGCGGUAAU